CUGAUUCAGAAACUGAAGUGCUCUCUUAAUUUUCUCCAGAGCUGAGAGGGACUAACUAAUGCUAACUAGUUAAGGUGUCCAACUGACUUCCUCCGCAGAUUCAAAAGAACAUGCGAAAUUUGGGUUUAAUCUCUUGGCGAUUCAGCUGCAUCUUUACAACAGGUCAUGAUGAAGUCACCAUGCGAUCCUAGGCUUGUACCCAAAUGUUUUGCGGUUUGGAUGGAUAUUUUGGAUCUACAGCUCUGGACAAGUCUUCAGCGUACAUGCACAGUAUCUAGGUGACCAUCUAUCGCAGGACAUCAACGGCUCUUCACAAUUUCCACAGCAGCACUGUAACCAAGAAUGCCCAGCAGCACCUCUACUUCCUGCAGAAACUGAGGAAAGCACAUCUCUCAUCCUCACCAUGGUCAUUAGAGGGACUGUAGAGAGCAUCUUCAGCACCUGCUUCACUGUCUGGUUUGGAAAUAGCUACAUCUCAGAUCGCAAGACCCUACAGCAGAUAGGGAGGGCAAGCAAGAAGAUCAUUGGAGUCUCUCUUUCCUCUAUCACCGAUAUGUACUUUGUUUUACAAACGCUGACUUGACCUUUGACUUAUUAUGGCUAUACUAGUGCAUCACAUAAAUUAGAAUAUCAUUAAAAAGUUACUUUUUUUAGUAGUUAUAUUAUAUAGAUGUAUUACACACAAUGAUCUAUUUUAUGCAUUUUUCAUUAUUGUUGAUGAUUAUCACUUACAGCCAAUAUAAACCGAAAAUUUCAAUAUUAUAUAAGACCAAUUGAUACUUUUGGCAGUGUGGGCAGUGUCCUAAGUCCUGCUAAAAAAUGAAAUCCGCAUCUCCAUAAAAGUUUUAGCAGAAGGAAGCCUACAGUGCUGUAAAAUUUCUUGGGAAAACACUGCACUGACUUUAGACUUGAUAAUAAAACACAGUGGAUCAACA
rnacentral:lncRNA from 1 species